AUUGAACGCUGGCUGCAUGCCUUACACAUGCAAGUCGAACGGUAACGGGCCUUCGGGUGCCGACGAGUGGCGAACGGGUGAGUAAUACAUCGGCACGUGCCCGAUCGUGGGGGAUAACGAGGCGAAAGCUUUGCUAAUACCGCAUACGAUCUACGGAUGAAAGCAGGGGACCGCAAGGCCUUGCGCGGACGGGGCGGCCGAUGGUGGCUUAGGUAGUUGGUGUGAUAAAAGCUUACUAAGCCGACGAUCUGUAGCUGGUCUGAGAGGAUGAUCAGCCACAUUAGGACUGAGACACGGCCCAGGCUCCUGCGGGAGGCCGCAGUGGGGAAUUUUGGACAAUGGGGGAAAGCCUGAUCCAGCCAUGCCGCGUGAGGGAUGAAGGCCUUCGGGUUGUAAACUGCUUUUGUACGGAACGAAAAGCCUUCUUUUAAUACAGGAGGGUCAUGACGGUACCGGAAGAAUAAGCACCGGCUAACUACGUG
rnacentral:rRNA from 1 species